UACGAAGGGGGCUAGCGUUGCUCGGAAUCACUGGGCGUAAAGGGUGCGUAGGCGGGUCUUUAAGUCAGGGGUGAAAUCCUGGAGCUCAACUCCAGAACUGCCUUUGAUACUGAAGAUCUUGAGUUCGGGAGAGGUGAGUGGAACUGCGAGUGUAGAGGUGAAAUUCGUAGAUAUUCGCAAGAACACCGGUGGCGCAGGCGGCGCCCUGGGCCGAGCCCGACGCUGAGGCGCGAGAGCGUGGGGAGCGAACCGG
rnacentral:rRNA from 1 species